GAUGAACGCUGGCGGCGUGCCUAAUACAUGCAAGUCGAGCGAACGGACGAGAAGCUUGCUUCUCUGAUGUUAGCGGCGGACGGGUGAGUAACACGUGGAUAACCUACCUAUAAGACUGGGAUAACUUCGGGAAACCGGCGCUAAUACCGGAUAAUAUUUUGAACCGCAUGGUUCAAAAGUGAAAGACGGUCUUGCUGUCACUUAUAGAUGGAUCCGCGCUGCAUUAGCUAGUUGGUAAGGUAACGGCUUACCAAGGCAACGAUGCAUAGCCGACCUGUGAGGGUGAUCGGCCACACUGGAACUGAGACACGGUCCAGACUCCUACGGGAGGCAGCAGUAGGGAAUCUUCCGCAAUGGGCGAAAGCCUGACGGAGCAACGCCGCGUGAGUGAUGAAGGUCUUCGGAUCGUAAAACUCUGUUAUUAGGGAAGAACAUAUGUGUAAGUAACUGUGCACAUCUUGACGGUACCUAAUCAGAAAGCCACGGCUAACUACGUG
rnacentral:rRNA from 1 species